UUGAGUGCAGAAGAGGACAGUGGAACUCCAUGUGUAGCGGUGAAAUGCGUAGAUAUAUGGAAGAACACCAGUGGCGAAGGCGGCUGUCUGGUCUGUAACUGACGCUGAGGCUCGAAAGUAUGGGUAGCAAACAGGAUUAGAUACCCUGGUAGUCCAUACCGUAAACGAUGAAUGCUAAGUGUUGGAGGGUUUCCGCCCUUCAGUGCUGCAGCUAACGCAUUAAGCAUUCCGCCUGGGGAGUACGGCCGCAAGGCUGAAACUCAAAGGAAUUGACGGGGGCCCGCACAAGCGGUGGAGCAUGUGGUUUAAUUCGAAGCUACGCGAAGAACCUUACCAGGUCUUGACAUACUAUGCAAAUCUAAGAGAUUAGACGUUCCCUUCGGGGACAUGGAUACAGGUGGUGCAUGGUUGUCGUCAGCUCGUGUCGUGAGAUGUUGGGUUAAGUCCCGCAACGAGCGCAACCCUUAUUAUCAGUUGCCAGCAUUAAGUUGGGCACUCUGGUGAGACUGCCGGUGACAAACCGGAGGAAGGUGGGGAUGACGUCAAAUCAUCAUGCCCCUUAUGACCUGGGCUACACACGUGCUACAAUGGAUGGUACAACGAGUUGCGAACUCGCGAGAGUAAGCUAAUCUCUUAAAGCCAUUCUCAGUUCGGAUUGUAGGCUGCAACUCGCCUACAUGAAGUCGGAAUCGCUAGUAAUCGCGGAUCAGCAUGCCGCGGUGAAUACGUUCCCGGGCCUUGUACACACCGCCCGUCACACCAUGAGAGUUUGUAACACCCAAAGUCGGUGGGGUAACCUUUUAGGAACCAGCCGCCUAAGGUGGGACAGAUGAUUAGGGUGAAGUCGUAACAAGGUAGCCGUAGGAGAACCUGCGGCUGGAUCACCUCCUUU
rnacentral:rRNA from 1 species